rnacentral:rRNA from 1 species
AUUGAACGCUGGCGGCAGGCCUAACACAUGCAAGUCGAACGAGUGGCGGACGGGUGAGUAAUGUCUGGGAAACUGCCCGCUGGAGGGGGAUAACUGCUGGAAACGGUAGCUAAUACCGCAUACCAUCGGAUGUGCCCAGGUGGGAUUAGCUUGUAGGUGAGGUAACGGCUCACCUAGGCGACGAUCCCUAGCUGGUCUGAGAGGAUGACCAGCCACACUGGAACUGAUACACGGUCCAGACUCCUACGGGAGGCAGCAGGGGGGAAUUUUGGACAAUGGGGGAAAGCCUGAUGCAGCCAUGCCGCGUGUAAGAAGAAGGCCUUCGGGUUGUAAAGUACUUUUAGCGGGAAGGCGGUACCCGCAGAAGAAGCACCGGCUAACUACGUGCCAGCAGCCGCGGUAAUUC